rnacentral:snRNA from 1 species
AGAUGUGAGGGCUAUCUGGCUGUGACAUCUGUCACCCAUUGAUCACCAGGGUUGAUUCAGCUGAUCAUGCUGGCUAGGUGGGUGUCCCUUUCCUCCCUCACUGCUCCAUGUGCAUCCCUCCCGAAGCUGUGUGCUCAAAGAGAACAACCUUUCCCGAUAGAGGAGGACCGUUCUUCGGUCAAGGGUAUACGAGUAGCUGCAUUCCCCUGCUGGAACCUCCAAACAAGCUCUCAAAACCACAGUGAGAUAUCACCUAACCCCAGUGAGAAUGGCUUUUAUCAAAAAGUCCCAAAACAACAAAUGCUGGUGU